UAUUUGAAUCAUACCUGCGAUCAACUCGAUGAAUAAAGUACGCCAGUACUUCGAGGUGUGUGGUAAAUCCAAUAGACCCGGAAACGGGUGAGGGGCGCCCAGUCAACCAAAUCAAGGAUACUUCUUUUGGAAGGCUGCCGGGGUUUAGUGAUAAAUCCCGGGAAGACGGAAACCGUCAACGGAAACACAUAUCGCAGAAAUGCCCGCAUUUAAAAGCACGGAACUUCUGGAUGCAGCAAUAGACGCCUACGGUGUAGGAGUAAGCCUAAGGGGUAUCAGUGUGGCAACUGAUAUGACAGAGGUAAAGCCAACAAUGCAUUCUGCCUUGAUGACGGAGAAAUCCGCCUAUAACAGAAGUCGCCGGUGAAAGUAGCCAUAUGGCAGAUUGACAAAAACUCGUUUAUUAAUCUGAAUGGACGGUGAAAUUUACAGGUAGCCAAUCCUGUGCAGGCUUGUGGCGUAAGCCAAGGGUAAGAAGUUAGGGGUCGCUCCCCGAAGCUCAGACUUAUCUUCCUGGUGGCAGAAUAUAAGUGAAGGGCACGGAUUGUACGGCGAAGGCCGGAUCGUAGGUAUGAUUCAA
rfam:Firmicutes bacterium CAG:227 genomic scaffold, scf173